rnacentral:lncRNA from 1 species
AGAAGAGCCAGCUCCUGUGAAAAGCUCUGGUACUCUUGCAGGCUGCAUCAGGAUGCCCUAGUGAGAAAGAUCCUAGACACCUCUAGGAAACAAACCAAACCGAUGUUAUGGCAUGGUCUCUUAAUUUUCCCUUUGGGCUUACCGUUUUUUCCUUGUGUGCUUGUUUUAAGUGUGGCAGGGUGAUUUGGAGAGGUAGGUUUUGCCAUGGUGCUGGGAACCAAAAACCGACUGGGCCACCAGCCUACGUAAAUGUUAUUAAUUAUAUUAUUCUUGCCUUCGCAGGCUUGGGCCUACAGGUGUUUCCUGACCAACAUUUUGAAGGUUACAGCUGUUGAAAUAAUGUGUUUAUUUUAUUUUAAAUCAGGUGGGGUCCUUACUAACACGCCUGCUGAAGAAAACACGUCUGGAUCAACUCCUCUUUCCAACGUGGUUCAGCCUCCAAGAAGCCGGAGAGCUCUCCCACUUCUGAGGACAAGAUCAAAGAGCGACCCUAUGCUUCACCAUUCUGAGGAGAGAGGUGAUGUCACUCCUCAGGCUCUUGGUAGACCCCUGUGAUUUUUUUUCUUUGACUGGUGCCAGGUACAAUCAGGUGGCUCUGGCCAGCUGAGGGCCCUGCAAGUUUAAGCAAUAUCUUGAGAGAGGUUGAGAGGCCAUGGGAAAAUGAGAUAGUCUAUGUUCACAUUGGGAAGAUA